CUUGUAACUAAAAUUAAAACUAUGUUCUAUUUGUGCACUUAUCAUAAAAAAUUAUGAAAUUAACAAUUGGCAGACUAGUAUUGUUAAAAAACGAAAGUAUAGAAAACCGAUCAAGUUCGAGCGCGUGGAGUGAGAAUGUUAGUAGCUUACUUCUCUCGUUUUGGCAACAUUUUACAAGAAAAUGUUUUCGUGGGACUAGUAUUGUUCAUUUCGAUAUCAGUUUUCAGUUUGGUUUAUCAUUUAAGUGCAUCACUAUUGGAGUCGGAAUCUAAUAUGAAAGCGAUAGUAUAUAUGUCGUUACGUGCACAUGAAGCUAUUAGUUUUGUUCAGAUGUGUAGGUUGAUCGUCAAAGAAUUAGCAUUAAGUGAAUACUUUAGUUCUUAUUUCAUCGUUUUUUUCCUUUCUUAGUUACUUUUAUGUUAUAAAAUGACCCCAGUUUCACUUGUAACUAAAAUUAAAACUCUGUUUUAUUUGUAGCACUUAUCAUAAAAAAUUAUGAAAUUAACAAUUGGCAGACUAGUAUUGUUAAAAAACGAAAGUAUAGAAAACCGAUCAAGUUCGAGCGCGUGGAGUGAGAAACUUAGUUACUUACUUCUCUCGUUUUGGCAACAUUUUACAAGAAAAUGUUUUCAUGUGGUUAGUAUUGUUCAUUUUGGUUUAAUACUUCAUUGUCGGCAUAUAAGAUUUGAGGUUAACCAUGGUUUCAUUUAAAUCUAAAAUACGUGUUUUAUUUCCGUAUUCAUGUGUAGUUAGUGCUUUUCAACGGAUAGAUCAGUAUUUUUCUUUAUGGAUUAUUAGCAUUGCAUCCCUGUAGUUCAUAUGGCAUCAUUAUUGGACUCGGAAUCUCUAGAAUUAUAAGCGUUAAGUAUUUUAGUUCAAACAAAUAUCAAACACUUAAGUUCUUAUUUCAUCGUUUUUUUUCUUAGUUAGUAAUAAUAUGAGAAUCUUACUCAUGAAGGACGGGUUGGUAUUGUUUACUUAUCGUUUUCCUUAAUAACAUUCAUGUUAUAAAACGACACCAGUUUCACUUGUAACUAAAAUUAAAACUAUGUUCUAUUUGUAGCACUUAUCAUAAAAUUUUAUGAAAUUAACAAUUGGCAGACUAGUAUUGUUAAAAAACGAAAGUAUAGAAAACCGAUCAAGUUCGAGCGCGUGGAGUGAGAAUGUUAGUAGCUUACUUCUCUCGUUUUGGCAACAUUUUACAAGAAAAUGUUUUCGUGAGACUAGUAUUGUUCAUUUCGAUAUCAGUUUUCAGUUUGGUUUAUCAUUUAAGUGCAUCACUAUUGGAGUCGGAAUCUAAUAUGAAAGCGAUAGUAUAUAUGUCGUUACGUGCACAUGAAGCUAUUAGUUUUGUUCAGAUGUGUAGGUUGAUCGUCAAAGAAUUAGCAUUAAGUGAAUACUUUAGUUCUUAUUUCAUCGUUUUUUUCCUUUCUUAGUUACUUUUUUUUACUUUUAUGUUAUAAAAUGACCCCAGUUUCACUUGUAACCAAAAUUAAAACUAUGUUUUAUUUGUGCACUUAUCAUAAAAUUUUAUGAAAUUAACAAUUGGCAGACUGGUAUUGUUAAAAAACGAAAGUAUGGAAAACCAAUAACUUAGUUCUCUACCUCUUUGGUUUUGGCAACAUUUUACAUGAAAUUGUUUUCGUGGGACUAAGUAGUAUUGUUCAUUUUGGUUUACUACUUCAUUGUCGGUAUGUCUAACAGAUUUGAUUUCCACAGUCGUCGGUUGGUGAAAUGCAAGCACUUAAUAAUGUAGCUGUAAUAGGAGGACAAGUGGCUUACCCACUGACAUUAAUAUUGUUCACACAGACAUGUGGACUGUAAGCUAGAAAAAAGUAACUUUGCAAAAGACAGACUAAUAUUGUUCAAGUAGCGUACAUGUUGACGCUAGUGGCCAUUUUGGCGUGGCCAUUGAUCAGAUUCAGUAAAGAAAAAUAGUUGAGUACUUAUUACUUAAGUCUUCCAGUCCGCGAGCGUCACUCGAUCACUUUCCUGGUGCAGCGGCCAUCAGUCCUUCGAGUGACGUGGCCUGCCCAUUGUUAUUUCGACCUGCGGACUUUAAGAGCUAUUUUGGAAGAUGUAUCGUGGGGCAAACCUUCUACUAGGUGGACCGACGACAUCAUACGAGUCGCGUGGAGCCAGUGUAUGCAAGUGGCGACCUCUCUGCCUUUGUUCAACAUUGUACGUUUUCCAGCUGAUGAUGAUGACGUAUUAGUUAAGGACUUAUUAGUUUUGUUAAGGUGUGUAGGUCAAUCGUCAUGGAAUCAUGGCGUUAAGUAUUAAUUACUUCGAAUUAAUAUUAAAUACUUUAGUUCUUAUUUCAUAGUUUUUUUUUGUUCCUUUCGUGUUACAAAAUUACACAAGUUUAACUUGUAAUUAAAAUUAAAACUAUUUGUAGCACUUAUCAUAAUAUUUUAUGAAAGUAACAAUUGGCAGACUAGUAUUGUUAAAAAACGAAAGUAUAGAAAACCGAUCAAGUUCGAGCAAGAAAAUGUUGAUAUUGUAUCGUUCAUUUUGUCUUUAACCACUUGAUUGUGAACUAUUUUAAUACAUAUUAAAAUAUUUUGUUUCACUUGUAACUAAAAUUGAAACUAUGUUCUAUUUGUAGCAGUUAUCAUAAAAUUUUAUGAUAUUAACAAUUGGCAGACUAGUAUUGUUAAAAAACGAAAGUAUAGAAAACCGAUCAAGUUCGAGCGCGUGGAGUGAGAAAGUUUGUUCUACUUCUUUUGUUUUAGCAACAUUUUGCAAGAAAAAGUUUUCAUGGGACUAGUAUUGUUCAUUUUGGUUUUGAUCACUUAAAUUAUACUUAUAAACAUAAGUCAAUGUAUUCUGUCUUUCGUGGAUCUAAGUUCCCAGGGUGUGGCAGGUUAAGUUAUGAAUAUACAUAACUACUUAUAAUAUAAUAAAGUAAAGAACCUUUUAGACCAAUAUAUUUUGGUUUUAAAAGUAUAUCAAACAUGUCAAUUUCGUUUCUACACUGUGGUGUGUUUGACAUUGCAUCAUUUAUGUCCCAUAAAUUAUCAAUUAUAUACAUAGUAUCUGGGUGUUUGGUUGGUUGAAUUUUGGUUUCAAUAUUUGUAUUUAAUUCUGUACUAUAAUUACUUUUUGUCAUAUUGAUGCCCGAGUUCAAUACCAAUUAAAUGAACAUUUGUACAUGUCGCUCCAAUACUCAAACUGCCAGUAUGUAAGUAACUAAUGUGAAAUGACUAGGCUAAGUCUUACACGGUUCUUACACUAAUUGUAAAAUAAUACAGACGUAUGUACUCAAACAUUUUAUAUGACGAACAGGUCAUUAUUAUUCAUUGCUUACUACUAGUACGGUUUGGUGUGUGAACAUAACUACCUACUUUACAUCACAUCAACAGCCUACAAGUGGCCACUGUUGACCAAAGGCCUUUACUCAGUUUCUCCAGGUCACCUCAUGAUGUUUUCCUUAGGAUCUAAAUAAUCUUAAUAAUAUAAUUCAGGAAAAGUCGCAUUGGUACUUGGCGUUUGUCGGUUUUAACUCCUCAUACAUUGCACGGUAUUUUCCAUACAUAGUCGAUAUACAUACAUUAUACAAAGCAUAGGUGUGACAAAUUUAUAGCAGAAUACGACAGGCAGGUUAGUAUUGUUUGGGAUAACAGGAUGUUGUGUGUUAAAGCACUUACUCUAGUGCUAUUCAUUAUGUUGAUUCGAUGCAAAAAAUAGUCUGCCCAUAAUUGGGUUACCAAUAUUUUAAAAUGAUUUUUUUUUGUUUCAAAUCAUACUAUGAAAGUAUUUUAAGCAAGUCAAAUUAAAGGCUUGCCGAACCGGUCAAUAUUGUUUUAAUUCUAGUAUUUACAGAUAAACUAAAUAAUUAGCACAAAGUUCUGUUUCAUAUCAGUAUGAUGUGGCUUUAUUAUGAACCACAGUAUACUUUGGUCUUGUCUUCCUCGGGUACCAUAGGUUCCAUGGGUUUCAUUUACAAUUGAACCCAUGGAAUCAAUUCUCUGCUUAUUCGUUUACGGAUUAGUAUACACACGUGUUGAGCUAUAAAAUUUUACUGUAUUGGAAUAAGUAGGUAAUUGCUUUCCAUUCUCUUCAUAACACAAUAACUUGUGUUUUAAACUUAUUUUAUCGCAUAAUGUGAAUAUCAUUUGUUUUGUCAAAUUAUUGUUGUAUCGUAUAUUAAUUUUGUUUAUUUAUAUCUGUAUGUAACAAUUAUUGCUACUACAGCCUACCUACAGGUCAGUAUUGUUUCUAGCUACAUAGCUGUUUAACACCUAUUUUGGAUUAUAUCUUUUCUAGUUUCUUAUCAAAGUAUUUAUUGGCUUUAAAAAUGCCAAAACGGUCAGUAUUGUUCAAUUUUUUCUUGAAAUUUUCGCCUUAAAUUUCUUUGGUUGGAGAAUGAUCAUACAAGUGCCCCAAUCCAGGGAUGCUUAGUCACAAAUUCUCUGCUUAUUCGUUUACGGAUUGGUAUACACACGUGUUGUGCUAUAAAAUUUUACUGUAUUGGAAUAAGUAGGUAAUUGCUUUCCAUUCUCUUCAUAACACAAUAACUUGUGUUUUAAACUUAUAAAUAUAGCAUAAUGUGAAAUAAUUUCAUUUUGUACUAUCAAAUUAUUGUUGUAUAUUGAUUUUGUUUAUUUACUCUUGUUUAUUUAUAUUUGUAUGCAACAAUAAUUGCUACUACAGCCUAUCUACAGGUCAGUAUUGUUCCUGGCUACGUAAUUGUUUAACACCUAUUUUGGAUUAUAUCUUUUCUAGUUUCUUAUCAAAGUAUUUAUUGGCUUUAAAAAUGCCAAAACGGUCAGUAUUGUUAGAUUUCUUCUUGGAUUAUUCGCCUUAAAUUUCUUUGGUUGGAGAAUGAUCAUACAAGUGCCCCAAUUCAGGGACGCUUAGUCACAAGUUGGCCAGUUAAACCGGUCGGUAUUAUAAGAAUUUCUUGGAAUUAAUAAUUCCAAUAUAUUCUGUUUUCUACUCUAUACUAUUAGAGUCUAUAUUUCUGUAUUUCCCAAAAGAUGUAUAGCCUGCAUAUUCUCAGGCCUCGAAGAUAAAAGUAUCUACUGAUACAGUAUAUAUUUUGUUCCAUAAUUGUAUUGUUCAUUACCUAACUCUGUGUUAUUAUAUUUUAUUUAUUUUAUUGACAUGUUUGCAAGUCCAUUAUAAAUUGAAAUCUGGAAAACAUUCGAUUUUUAUUGAUCGAUUUUUUAGAAGUAUUUUGUGGUCCGGUUUAGUAAACAUUUAUUCAAUGUGUAAUAUUGAAUAAAUAUAAAUAAAUGAAUGUUAUAUUGAUGUAUAUUCGGAACCUUGUCUAUUUUGGGAUCCAAAUAUUAUCUGCGGUUUAUUUUGUCUAACCGGUCAAUAUCGUUACCGCCAUUAAAUCCAGCCUAGCCGCGUGAUUAACAAAUUUCACAACCCCCUUCUUUCUUGACAUAUUUCACAGUAGACUGCGUGACAUUCUCUGCAAGUCGAGUAAGUCAUAACUUGCUAAGUCAGUCAAUGUUGUUCCAUUUCUAAACAUUCUAAAGUGAAUAUUGAUAAUGCGCAUAUUUUGUUCUAUACAGUAUAUUAUUGACUUAUUUCUAAGUCAACUUUAAAUUUUACAUGAGUAACACAAUUGUGAUACAUGAUACAAAAUGUAAUUUUGUCAAUCUAUCAUUUAGAUUGGUAUUGUCGUUGUAGUUUUUGUAUUUUUUAUGUUUAUUUGUUCCAAUUUAUCGAAGGAAAAAUGUAUAAAAAACUGAUCAAUGUUGUUCUUUGGUUUCCUUUUUGAGGGUAUAUUUUUUGAAAAACUAUACCAUCACUAUAGAAUUUAUUGGUAUUCAGAUUUCUUUAAUGUAUUUAAUAUUUUAUUGAAUGCCAAUGUUUACACUGCCUUUUCUUUAUUUUCGUUAAGAGUUGCUGUUUUUAUGAAAUUUUACUGAUUUACUGAAAUCAUUAAUAUUUAAUUCUUAGUAUUAAACAAAAUAAAGCUCAUUAAAGAUUUCUGAACUUUUCAAUCGUGUCACUGAUUUAUUUCUAAUCAGUGAUUAUUGCAGCGUUCUAUAACAGGGAAGAGAAAGCUUAAAAUAAUACCUUCAAGCAAGCCUUGACAAAAAACCGGUCAAUAUUGUUUAGACUUGCCGCCUCUUUAUGAGGUACAUAUAAGUACCUGCAACUUAUUUUCGAUCUGAUUUUGUAAGGCGCGCUAUUAGACUCUGUAUUCUAUUUUAUUAACGUCUAAGUGAAAUGUACUCAGUGCUUCUCAAGUUAUCUCUUUUUCUUCAUCUUUUAUUUUGAAAACGUCUCUUGCAUAAACUCAUCUUCUACUGAUGCUUGUGUAGAUUAUGUUUUCUGUAAUCGUGAUUACUUAGUAAUUGUAUAAAAAUAAUAUUGUGUUGUUGUUUAAAAAUAAUACUACUCGUAUAUUUUAUGUAUAUCUAAUUAAGUUUUAUUGUUUGUGAACCAUUAAAGUAAUAAAAAACUAAAUCAUU